rnacentral:rRNA from 1 species
GAUGAACGCUGGCGGCGUGCUUAAUACAUGCAAGUCGAGCGAACAGACGAGGAGUUUGUUCCUUUGACGAUAGCGGCGGACGGGUGAGUAACACGAGGAUACUCUACCUAUAAGACUGGGAUAUUCUCGGGAAACCGGAGUUAAUAGCGGAUAAUCUCUUGAUCCGUAUUGUUCAAUUGUGACAGUCGGUUUUUCUGUCACUUAUAGCUGCAUCCGCGCUGCAUUAGCUAGUUGGUAAGGUAACGGCUUACCACGGAAACGAUGCGUAGACGACCGGAGAGGGUGGUCGGCCACACUGGAAGUGGGACACGGUCCAGACUCCUACGAGAGGCAGCAGUAGGGAAUCUUCCGCAGUGGUCGGAAACUUGACGGAGCAACGCCGCGUGAGUGAUGAAGGUCUUCGGAUCGUAAAACUCUGUUAUUAGGGAAGAACAAAUGUGUAAGUAACUAUGCACGUCUUGACGGUACCUAAUCAGAAAGCCACGGCUAACUACGUG